AAAGAAAAAGAAAGAAAAAAAGAAAGAAAAUGUAAAUAAAAUGAUCAAGCUGUUACAGAAAAGAUGAUAUUUCCCCAUGUCUUGACUAAUAGUGAGGCCCUGUUUCAAAAGGGAUGUGAAGGGCUAGACAUGAGGCUCGGUAGGAAGACCCUAGGUUCAAGACCCUAUACUGGAAAAAAGCUACUUUUAAUGCAAGAUGUUACUACUGUAAAAGAAUGCAUAGAUGAUAUUUGGAAUGUCUCUGAAGAUUUUCUUACAACUUCCAGUGAAUCUGCAGUUGUCUUAAAAUAUGUCUCAAAUGUUAUCAUUAUAAUUCUCUCAAAGGUUAAGAAGUGAUGCUGCCCUGCAAAUGUGGAGAGGACGGACUUGAAUGUGGAUUUUAGAGUUGCUCGGAAUUCCCUUUCAGAACUUGAGGAGGGAGCAGCUUGUAGAAUUGGCAGGACCCAGUAAGCUAUGAGAGUAGUGUAUUUGAAACUGAUCAAGAAUCUCAAGAGGUCAACAGCAGGGGUGUUUAAUUGUGGGGAUAACUGGGAGCUGUGGCUCAGUGUCACUGCCCAAUGCCUUCAGAAAACAUGGACCACAUAUCACUAGCCCGGGGUAAGACUUAAAUGCAAAACUCGAAGGACACAGUGUCUAUUGAUUGUGCACUGCCUUUGAACAUCAUCAAAUCCAUAGAAUUGUAAGCACAGUUGCAUAUGUGGGGGACCAUUUGAUUACACUUUUAUUGUGGCUAUUAUCAUUCUCCUCAUAUAUCAGCCAGGUUUCCCACUGCUGAGACACACUACUUGACACUUGCAAUUUAAAAGAGGAAAGGUUUUAUUUUGCUUACGAUUUCAGGGGAUUCAGUCCACGUUAAGCUGGUUCCAAGGCAGAAAUAGUGCGGUGGAAGGGUGUGGCAGACCAAUACGCUCAGUUCAAGAUAUUCAGGAAGCAGAGCGAGGGAAAAGCAAGCUAAAGAGGAAGAGGCCAGGGAGAAAAUAUAGUACCUAAAAUUGUGCCUCUGUGACUCACCCAGACAUAUUCAAAAUAGUGCUUUUCUAAUCCCGUGGGCAGCUCCCAAGCCCAUCAAGUUGACACAAUUAAGCUUAACCACCACACCCUUUUCAUAAGCAAUAAGAUCAUCAGGGACAUUUCUUGGUUUUGUUCUGAAAACUGUGCCAAGCCCAUAUUUAGUACUAAAUAAUAUUUGUGCCUAGAUGGAUGGGUGGGUGGGUGGAUGGAUGGAUGGAUGGAUUUAUGAUGUAGGAGCUAAUAAAUCAGUUUUGACAUGCAUGUUCCCUGGAGAAUAAAUUCCUGACUACAGAAUAUCUGAGUCCUCUUAAACAUGAGUUUUAAAUUACAUUGUGGCACAAAACUCAUUCCCCUUUAAAAUGAAAACAUUAUUUAACACUAAGGUCAAGUUAGCAUAUUAAUACUUUUGGCCAUAAAACUAUUGACCAAACAGGAACCCUGGAAAUGUCACCUUUAAGGUUUAACACUGCAAAGGGCAAGAGUGAGAGAGUGGCUCUGCAGAAGAAUAGGGAACAUUGUACAGUUGAUUUCCUAAAAGCAGUCAUCAGACAGGACUGUGUGAUUUUAACUGUAGAUUUUCAAGUGGCUCUCACCCUGACUGCCACGGGAGAGGAUAAUCGGCCUUAAGAUGAUUUAAUCCCCUGGGACUCCAAGACUCAUGGAUUUGUCUGGAAGGACGAGAGAGCUUUGUGGGGUGAUGGAAAAUGGGGUGGGUGAUUAUGGGGAAGAACACCUUCUCUAAGGAAAAAAUACCCAAGGUACAAACAAGAGGAGCUAGGUGGGAGAUCUGCACUUGGGAUUUUGUGGGGUUUUUUUGUUGUUGUGUUUUGGUGGGGUUUUUUGGUACUGGGAAUUGAACUCAGGACCUUGUGCUUGCCAGGCAGGCACUUAUGCCUCUGAGCUACAUCCCCAGCCCUGCACUCGGGAUUUUGGAUUUAUGACAACAUCAGGCUCUCACACUAGCUUCAAUCCAUCUUUACUAGUGCCUACUUUUAUUUACCUUCAGACAUGGGGAAAAGGCAAAAGAGGGACUCCCGCCAGUAGACCCACAUUUUGUGAUACCUCUGCCCUUUAUGAUCUACCUGAGAAAGUUCUAGCUACACAUCCUUGGUCUUAUGCCUCUUUUAUUAUCUGGAUUCUGAACCAAUAUUAUAUCUGCCUUCAGGGUUUUCUCAUGGCUGCCUACUGAAACAAAGCAAGCGUAAAAAGUUGGCAAAAAGAAAACAAAAUAUAAAAAGAAUUUUCCCGUCUCAAUCAAUUCUAUCUUUUCAUCUGACUGCCUUGAUUCUGGAAUUCUAACUUUGCCUCAGCAGUGAGGAGAGCCUUUGUCUCCUGUCCCUGCCCUGGACCAUGUCCCCAAAGUGCCAGUCUUCUCUCGGGUUAGGCAUGGGCUGCAUCUUGAUCCCCAUCCCUGUGCAAAUGGCAAGGGAGGCACACUAGAAAAUUAGUCUCUGCCUUAAGACUGAAAUAUUAAAAUGCAAAGUAAAAGUCAUUAAUCAUUGCUGGGAGAUGAUCAUGAAUUUUCACCUUGGGAAUUUAAAGUUACAUAACUAGAUAAUUAUGCUACACAUCAUGUGUCACUCUUUGGGAACCUGCAUCAGUCACAACAUUAGCAAGUGAAAGAAAUCUUCAGCGUACCAUACCCAGCCACUACUGUGGAAAUACCGCAAAGUGACAGUGAGAGUUUUGAAAAACAGUCAGAAAAACUUGUGAAAGAACACAUAUGCACUCUGACAGCUUUGAGAGGGGCAGUUGUAGAGUUCCAACCUGUUGUAAGCCUCAACGAGUCCUGUAAGAGAAUAAAGAACACCCUCCCUCAAGGCAGGGAAACUGGCCAUUGCACCCAGCAGGACUUGUGUGACUGGUAGGUGGCUCCUGCCGUCCCUCCCCUUAACAAAAGCCUGUGCUUACUGGGCCACACUUCUCCAAAGCUCAUUUCAGUUAUUACUUUUGUGCUUGUUUUCGGUAGGACUUUUGAUCCAUGGGAAACCCUGGACUCUGAUUGACAACUAUUAGGGAGCAAUCUCCUGCACAAGAGGGUGAUGGGUGUCACAUAAAGAAGGAGAAAAAUCAGUACGUGUGGCCAAGGGGUGGACUGGAGUAGCUUUCGGUAACUAUCUGCUUCCUCUUCCUAUAAGAGGAUUACAGCUGCUUUAUCCCCCGCACUUCGGACUUGACCAAGUCACUUGUUUGGGCCAACAGACAGGACAGGAUAUAUUGGUGGCUUCUGACUGGAGGUUUUCAGUACCUCUAGGCAUUCAGCUUACCUCUCCUGACCUUUGCCUUUGGCCGUGACCGGGCCAUGCCCAGGUGGGGGCUCCUCCUUUGCCUUUGCUCCUAGAAGGAAGAUCCAUAAAGCCAGCCCACAGAAAAGAGAAUGUGCAUGAGAAAUAAACUAGAAACUUGGAGUUUCUGGAUGCUACAGCAACAUAUGGUGACCGAUUCUGCAAUCACUCAAUUCUGUAUUAACCCACUACUCACAUUACAAAAGUCAAGUGAUGUUGAACUGACAAAGUACCAGGUUAAAAUAGUCAGGGGGUUGUGCUGAUGUUUAAAUAAUCUGAACAAUGAAAGGUUGACACCACACAAGCAAAACAUCUGCAUUAUAGACCCAAAGUUGAAAUAAUGGUGUAGACUGCAGUAGCAUGGUUUGACUAUAAUGAUUUAAGUUUAGCAGGGUCUUGGUCAUUAGAACUCACUUGAACUUUAUGUAACUGUAAUGUAUGUCACAUUUGACUUUCUCAGGGAAUGAUUAAAUCUGACUUUUCCAAAGAUGAAGCAAAAUUCAGAGGAUUUCUUAGCUGAAUAUCUGUAAAUUUAGAAUCCAAUAUUUAACCUAAUUGAUUCAGAAGAGAUUUGAUUUCCCUGGCACUUUAUAUGUUAGUUUUUUGAGGGGUUUUGACUGAUUGAUAGUCUUUAUUCUAUUUAUAUUUUUACCACCACCACACAAAUAUUAAGACUUUGACAGUUUCCUCUUUAAGAAGAAUGCCUUAUGUGUUCAAAGCCAUCUGUAUGAGUUCAUGGAAGCGGUGGUCCUCCUGUGAUCACUGGGCUCUAGAGAAGUUGGAUGCAGCCUGUCAGUGCUCUUGUUAGAGCAUCAAUAACCUUGGCCUUUGGGAGGAAGCCGAAUGAAGAUGGAUGGGCAGAGGGCUCUGGCCUGUCAGGAUCCCCUGCUGCCAACUGUGGACAUGUUUGCCAGGGCAGCGCUGCCUGGGGGCGAUUAACAGAUGCCAUGGCUAAAGCAACUGCAUGAAGCACACCCAAACCAUUCCUCUGGCUUCACUGCUAACUCUCGAUCAUUUUAAUAAUGUGCAGCUUUUGUUGGUUUGUUUGAUACACGUUGGAAUGAUAUUUUCCAAGGAACUAGUCAUAGUAUGCUAGAAUACGUAGUUGUAUGUUUCAAACAUUUUGCGUUGCAGGUGUUUGGAAAAGUUAGGAUUUUUGAAUGAAUCCCUGAUAGGAAAAGAUACAUAUUCACAUUUGCCUGAUGUCAGCAGGAACAUUUAGGCACACAUAUACCUCAAGUUUACUUAAAUGUGUUUAUAUUUCCUUAAAUAUAAAACAUAAACCUUAAAUCAUUUCCGGUCUGUGAAUGUUUUCAGUCUAUACCUCUGCUUGGCUAGGGCAAUGCUAGCUGCUGUAACAAGCGCAACAUUCUGAUUGUGUAUAUUUUGUUAUUGGGAUCCAUGUGACAGCAAUAAAAAGCUGCCAUUCAGUAGGCAGUUUUCUUGCAACUUGUGAUUCAGAGAUCCCAGCUAACCCUUCCUUGUGCGCUGACAGUCCUCUGGGUGUUUGGGAGAGAAGCCUUGAAGUGCUUUGUGUCCUGUCAACAGAAGAGCAGCAGACAGUGGAGAAGGCUCACUUGCUUCCUAAAUACCCCACACUGGAAAUCGUGUCCCCACUUCCAUUCAUAUCUCGUUGGGCAGAAAUAGUUUAUGGCCAGAACCAGAUAUAAAGUUGAGCUAGAAGAUGUACUAAGUGGAGUGAGCUUCAACCCAGAAUCUCUAUUGUGGAGGAAAGAGAGCCAUUUGGGGUGGAGAGUUAGCCUUUUCCGCCAUAAAUAGCCUAUGGGGUGGUAAGUUUUCUAAUUUUUGUCUGUAUAGUUUGAAACACCAGCCUUCUUUUUAUGUCAGUGUUGUCAAUUGUGUUUUAAAAUUCAAGGUGUAACUUCUGAGCACAGCAUUGAAUUAUUAACAUCCUGACUUCAUCUUUCAACAUGAAUAAUUUGUAUUCUAGUUCUCAGAGCAUUGUUGUGUAACACUUGCUAAUUAAUAUUCAUUAAAUACCGCUGGCCCCACUUGGAGAACUUCAGUCUCUAACCACAAUUUGUGGUUGUGGAUAAAUAUAGCACCAUGUACAGUACCCACUAUUUCUCUGAGCUACCAUAAUAAUAUCAAACCUGAUGAUCUAAGGAACUUAUACCGCUGGAAAGCGCUGGGACGUUUUCCAAUGAUUUCGUUCCUUCCUCCAUUCAUUCAUUCCUCCCCUCAUUCACUCAGAAGCAGUCAUUCUUCUCCCAACAGCCAGUGCCUGAAAUCUCAUUUAACAGUCUUUGGCCUAUGUAAAAUAUUUAGUCUAAUUACCUAAAGCUUUUUAUUAUAAUUUUAUAGCCUUUUUAAAGGGAAAUAAAUUACAUUAACAGAUUCUGCACUUCUAUCCACAACCUGCUCAUCCAUCUCCCCAGAAAGUUCUGCAUAAUUGCUGUUCAGCCAGAGAUUCACUGUCACUUGUAGUAAGGUGCAGACAUCUAGCUGUUUGUCCUGGUGUGGAGCAAGGUCACAUCAUCAGAGACUACAGGCUUCACUUCCAUCCUCCUAAUCCCUUCCCAUGCCUUCCAUUCCCCCAGGCAGCCACUGGCUUCUUAGAGGGGCCAAGGCCAUUUUCAUGAAGGACAGCCCAUCUCUCCCUGCGCCUUGCUCAUCCCUGAGAGGCAUGCUUCUCAAAAGCCGGAGAAGUCUGUUCUGGUCAUACUGUCAUAUUGCUUCCUGGUUUGUCUUGUUUCAUUUUCAACAAAAUUGAAGGAGGGCUUAAUUGAAUUGUCAGGGCAUAGAUCAUUAAAGUGAUUUUUGGUGACAGAUUAUAGUAUGAUUUUUGGAGUAUAUUUUGAAAAAAUUUCAAAGAAUUGAGUGACAAUGUUAUUAGAAUUUGAUUCUAUUUCCAGCUAUUUAUGUACAUGAAUUUUCUAAGUGCUUGAAUGUCUAAAACUGAAAAAUAGGAAUAGAAUUGAUGCUGAAUCCCUUUUCAUUGUAGCACUGAUAUUCAUCUAGGGAUAUAUGAGGUAAAAGAGAGAAAAAAAAUAAGGAAUAAAAAGGGAAAAAAGAAAUAAAGAACAAAAUCAUCCA